rnacentral:rRNA from 1 species
GUGCCAGCCGCCGCGGUAAUACGUAGGGGGCAAGCGUUGUUCGGAUUUACUGGGCGUAAAGAGCGCGCAGGCGGUCGUGCAAGUCGCGUGUGAAAGCCCCCGGCUCAACUGGGGAGGGUCACGCGAUACUGCUCGACUUGAAGGCAGGAGAGGGAAGUGGAAUUCCCGGUGUAGUGGUGAAAUGCGUAGAUAUCGGGAGGAACACCAGUGGCGAAGGCGACUACCUGGCCUGUUCUUGACGCUGAGGCGCGAAAGCUAGGGGAGCAAACGGGAUUAGAUACCCCAGUAGUCC